CUCCUUUGAAGUUAGCGGCGGACGGGUGAGUAACACGUGGGUAACCUACCUAUAAGACUGGAAUAACUUCGGGAAACCGGAGCUAAUGCCGGAUAACAUUUGGAACCGCAUGGUUCUAAAGUAAAAGAUGGUUUUGCUAUCACUUAUAGAUGGACCCGCGCCGUAUUAGCUAGUUGGUAAGGUAACGGCUUACCAAGGCAACGAUACGUAGCCGACCUGAGAGGGUGAUCGGCCACACUGGAACUGAGACACGGUCCAGACUCCUACGGGAGGCAGCAGUAGGGAAUCUUCCGCAAUGGACGAAAGUCUGACGGAGCAACGCCGCGUGAGUGAUGAAGGUUUUCGGAUCGUAAAACUCUGUUAUUAGGGAAGAACAAAUGUGUAAGUAACUGUGCACAUCUUGACGGUACCUAAUCAGAAAGCCACGGCUAACUACGUGCCAGCAGCCGCGGUAAUACGUAGGUGGCAAGCGUUAUCCGGAAUUAUUGGGCGUAAAGCGCGCGUAGGCGGUUUCUUAAGUCUGAUGUGAAAGCCCACGGCUCAACCGUGGAGGGUCAUUGGAAACUGGGAAACUUGAGUACAGAAGAGGAAAGUGGAAUUCCAUGUGUAGCGGUGAAAUGC
rnacentral:rRNA from 1 species